UACGGGGGGGGCAAGCGUUGUUCGGAAUUACUGGGCGUAAAGGGUUCGUAGGUGGCCAACUAAGUCAGACGUGAAAUCCCUCAGCUCAACUGGGGAACUGCGUCUGAUACUGGUUGGCUUGAGUGCAGGAGAGGAACGCGGAAUUCCAGGUGUAGCGGUGAAAUGCGUAGAUAUCUGGAGGAACACCGGUGGCGAAGGCGGCGUUCUGGACUGCAACUGACACUGAGGGACGAAAGCCAGGGGAGCAAACGGG
rnacentral:rRNA from 1 species